rnacentral:rRNA from 1 species
UACGGGGGGGGGCAAGCGUUGUUCGGAAUUAUUGGGCGUAAAGAGCUCGUAGGCGGCUCGGUAAGUCAGGUGUGAAAACUCUAGGCUCAACCUAGAGACGCCACCUGAUACUGCCGUGGCUAGAGUCCGGUAGGGGAGCAUGGAAUUCCUGGUGUAGCGGUGAAAUGCGCAGAUAUCAGGAGGAACACCAGUGGCGAAGGCGGUGCUCUGGGCCGGAACUGACGCUGAGGAGCGAAAGCGUGGGGAGCAAACAGG